CAGUUGGGAAUAUUGCACAAUGGGCGCAAGCCUGAUGCAGCGACGCCGCGUGAGGGAUGACGGCCUUCGGGUUGUAAACCUCUUUCAGUAGGGAAGAAGCGUAAGUGACGGUACCUGCAGAAGAAGCGCCGGCUAACUACGUGCCAGCAGCCGCGGUAAUACGUAGGGCGCAAGCGUUAUCCGGAUUUAUUGGGCGUAAAGAGCUCGUAGGCGGUUUGUCGCGUCUAUCGUGAAAGACCAGGGCUCAACCCUGGUUCUGCGGUGGGUACGGGCAGACUAGAGUGAUGUAGGGGAGACUGGAAUUCCUGGUGUAGCGGUGAAAUGCGCAGAUAUCAGGAGGAACACCGAUGGCGAAGGCAGGUCUCUGGGCAUUUACUGACGCUGAGGAGCGAAAGCAUGGGGAGCGAACAGGAUUAGAUACCUGGGGGUAGU
rnacentral:rRNA from 1 species